rnacentral:rRNA from 1 species
GCAUUCCUUAGUUCCGGCGAAGUGAAGCGGGAAGAAGCUCAAAUUUGAAAUCUUCAAGGUUUGACCUUGACGAAUUGUAGUUUAUAGAAGUGUUUUCUGUUGGAGUUUUGGUAAAAGUUCUUUGGAAUAGGACAUCAUAGAGGGUGAGAAUCCCGUAUUUGACCAUGACUUUCCAGCUGUGUGAUACACUUUCAAAGAGUCGGAUUGUUUGGGAAUGCAGUCCAAAAUGGGUGGUAAAUUUCAUCUAAAGCUAAAUAUUGGCGAGAGACCGAUAGCGAACAAGUACCGUGAGGGAAAGAUGAAAAGAACUUUGAAAAGAGAGUUAAACAGUACGUGAAAUUGUCAAAAGGGAAGCGUUUGACACCAGUGUUGUUUUCUCGAAAAUCAAUUUAAUGAGUUCUUGUUUUUAAGUUAUUGUGACUUUAUCAGCGCAUUUCUUAUUUUACUUGACUCAUUGAAUGCACUUUUCGUUUAACAAGUCAACAUCAAUUUCUUUGGUGGUAAAAAGUUUAAAGGAAGGUGGCUUGGACUUCGGUUCAAGUGUUUAUAGCCUUUUUUCUAUGCCAUCGGAGAGAUUGAGGUCUGCAGCGUAGAUCCUUCGGGGUUAGAUACCUUUGUGCUAAGUUAUAGUUUUUUAUAGACAACUUGUUGACUAUAAUUAACCCUGUAAUUUACUCGCUUAAGCUAUUUUACCUACGCUUAGGAUGUUGACAAAAUGGUUUUAAACGACCCGUCU